GCUCGCGUAGUCUAGUUUGGCUAGGACUCGUCACUGCCACUGACGGAACCCGGGUUCAAAUCCCGGCGCGUGCACCA
rnacentral:tRNA from 2 species